GUUGUAUAGUCAAGUAAUUAAGUGCAUGUGGUGGAUGCCUUGGCAGUCAGAGGCGAUGAAAGACGUGAUAGCCUGCGAAAAGCUCCGGGGAGGCGGCAAAUAUCCUUUGAUCCGGAGAUGUCUGAAUGGGGGAACCCACCUACUUUAAGGUAGGUAUUGCAACAUGAAUACAUAGUGUUGCAAGGCGAACGAGGGGAAGUGA
rnacentral:rRNA from 1 species